GUGAGGCACAGAGCAAUAAACAUAGCGAGCCAAUUUCCAGGACGGCAAGAGGGGGCACUGGAGGUGACAACAAUGACAAGCCCGUGCUGCUGACAAGUUUUAGAUUCCCAGGCUGAUGGAGCAAGUGAUGAAAUGGGUUACCAACUGUAGUUCCUCCCGUCAGCGCGGAAUGCUGCAGGGAAUGUAUUCAGACAUGCCCAGAGAAGUCUGCCCAAGGUCAAAUUAAUACCUUGGAGGUUUAAAUCAGAAACUACACGAUUAUUGUUGCUAUAUUUUGUUAGAGAGGAAGGAGAGGCUAUUUCUACAGGUGUCAUGAAAAAUCAAUACUGAGCCACGGAUUAUUGGAUCCUAUAGAACCAUGGAGACACGGCAGUGAAAUUCUU